UGGGGAAUAUUGCGCAAUGGGCGAAAGCCUGACGCAGCGACACCGCGUGAAGGAAGAAGUCUUUCGGGAUGUAAACUUCUGUCAAGAGGAACGAUUAUGACGGUACCUCUAAAGGAAGCACCGGCUAACUACGUGCCAGCAGCCGCGGUAAUACGUAGGGUGCAAGCGUUAUCCGGAUUUAUUGGGCAUAAAGAGCACGUAGGUGGUAUUUUAAGUCAGGUGUUAAAGCCUUCAGCUCAACUGAAGAUCGCGCCUGAAACUGGAGUACUAGAGGACAGAAGAGGAAAGAGGAACUCACAGUGUAGCGGUGAAAUGCGUAGAUAUUGUGAGGAACACCAGUUGCGAAGGCGUCUUUCUGGUCUGAUCCUGACACUGAGGUGCGAAAGCGUGGGGAGCGAACGGG
rnacentral:rRNA from 1 species